rnacentral:rRNA from 1 species
ACACCCACUAUCCGCCCGGGAACUACGAGCAAAAGCUUAAAACCCAAAGGACUUGGCGGUGCUUUAGAUCCACCUAGAGGAGCCUGUUCUAGAACCGAUAACCCCCGUUCAACCUCACCUUUCCUUGUUUUUCCCGCCUAUAUACCGCCGUCGUCAGCUUACCCUCUGAAGGUCUAAUAGUAAGCAAGACUGGUACAACCUAAAACGUCAGGUCGAGGUGUAGCGUAUGGAAGGGGAAGAAAUGGGCUACAUUCGCUACUACAGCGAAUACGGAGGGUGUACUGAAACGUACACCUGAAGGAGGAUUUAGCAGUAAGCAGGAAAUAGAGCGUCCCGCUGAAAUCGGCCCUGAAGCGCGCACACACCGCCCGUCACUCUCCCCGAAAACACCCACUCAGUUAAUUAAAACCUAAUAAUCAUAGAGGGGAGGCAAGUCGUAACAUGGUAAGUGUACCGGAAGGUGCACUUGGAAAAAU